AAGCACUUAGGACUCUGUUUGAGUGUUUGGUGGCUGAGAAACUUAGGAAAAUGUAAGAAAAAUGAACAAGAUUUUGAAGUUGCUUCUUCUAUUUUCCUUUUGUCAGCCACCGAACCGGGCCCUAGAUUUUACAUUGUUUGGAAUCCGAGAAAGCACAACAAACCUUCGCUUAACUCAGCUUAGUUCAACUAUUUACGUUCGUUGGGGUGAGUUUUCUCACUUUAAGAAUCCCAAACUACAUCAAACAAAAGAUUCAAAAUUUUCUUUGCUUCUCAGUUUUCUGAGCAACCAAACGGAGGGUUCUUUUGUCAGAACCGUAAUUGCUCUUUGAAGACUUCAGAGUUUCUUCCCCAGCUGACAAUUUGCGUGUUUGAGAAUGGGCUUUUCUUAAGUUUUCAUUUAGGCUCCGUUUGGUUUCCGAGAAACCAGAGAAAAAGAAGAGAAGAAACAUUAAGACCUUAUGGUUUGUAUUGGUUUAACUCCCUUGAGAAAGAAAAGAAUCAGCUUAAGAAGAUCUCAUCUUUCACAGUUUUGGCUCGAGCAAUGUUGCGAGUGUUGUAUCAUUUGGAACUAAACAGAAAGAAUCAGUUUUCCUGCCAAUAAAUUAAUUAUCUUUUUGCAUUUUCAGGUUAGAGAUCGACUGAUAAUUCCAAUCUGUGCUAAUAGAUUGAGAGAUCUUUUGCAUUUUUUGGAUUCUCAUUCUCACAUUGUUUUCAGGGGACUUGAUGCAAAAUGGGAAGUCACAGAAAAGGAAAGUUUCCCUGGGAAGUGAUUGAGCUCUUACCCAGCUGAUUGCCAAUGAACAGUGGAAAGACAACUUACUAGUUUCCUUGCUCUUGACCUGGCAGCAGAUUCUCUGUUCUUUAUCAUUCUGCGCCUAAUCUUCUCAGCAGCGGCUGUUUCUGUGGCAUCAGCAUCAGCUGUGUUGAUGACAGUCUCUGUACUUCCAUUUCCAGGACUGAACAUGUUAAUGAACUGAUGGUAAGGGUGUGCCCCCUGAACAGCUUGUUUCUCUGCAUUCACUUCAUAGGGAUUCACCAUGCUGAAGCCAUUGAUGACUUGAUGAGGUAGUUCCCUCUGAUGCCCGUCUCCAGCCCCUCCAUGUCCGACCCCAAAGCCUGCAGAUCCCAUUGGUUCCAAAACAUUGCCAGCUCUGUGAAUUGGGAACUGGCUUGAUCCUGACCCAUUUCCGAUGGAUAGCGAAGUCUUUUCUUUGUUUCUCAGGCUUUUCAUUCUCAUCCAAUUUUGUAGAGAUUCUUGGGCGUUUUCCCAGUUUCCAGAAAGAACAAAAUUUGCUGGUUGGAUCAUGUCUGAAACAAGAGAUGAUGGGGUUUGAAAUUGCUGGGCUCCUUGGAGAUGCGCCCCUAAAGACAAAGGGCUGAGUUGAACUGACUUCCCUUCAUUGGAAUUGGGGAACACAGGAAACAUGGUGUCUGGUUUUUGAAGAUGCAGACCGAAACUUCAAUUCUGGACCUGAUAUCAGAUGAGAAAUUGGCAACAAAAACAAGAAAUGUAAUUGAAUUAUGAUGCAUGCAAGAAUCUCAUUGUCACAUUGAAAACAAAUGCAAAUCCUCUAAAGAAAACAGAAUUCUGAUAUGAGGAUGUAUAUCUCUUCCUAAGAUUUAUCAGAUGAACUAUGCUAGUGAAUGGUUUUUUUAUCUUUUCAAAUUCCUUAUGAAUCAGCAAAACGAUAACCAAGCUGUACUACCUUUGAGCUGUACUGUUACAGACCAAUUUGGUGCUUCAAGGAUGGACUGAAUUUCCAAAAACCUUCACCUUCAUUGUCAAGUUGUGUUGAGUACUGUAUGAAAGCACACAGAGAGAGUAUGGACCUGAGAAAUAUAAGGACACAGAAGAUAGACUUGAGAGAUAUAAGCGACACAGAAGAUAGAGGAAGGGAAGAAACUUUAUGCCGAGUGGCAGAGAUGCUCUGAAAAUCAACAUGCAAGAGCUCGGCGGAAGUAUCAAGGCCAAUCAGUUUUACCAAAAAGGAAAAAGGUUGAAACCGAUGCUUUCAUUGUGAGGUUGUAAGGGUGCAGCAAAUAAAGACACUUCAAGCUUAUCAGUGCAGAAGUUCAAAACACUCAAGUCUCCUGAUUAGAGCAAGAACAUGGAUCUUUCUCUUGGUUUCGUUCAUUUCGCAGCAUUUGUAACCUCCUCUCGAGGCCCCUUAUUCUCUGUUCCGUCGCGCGCAUGAGGUCUCCUACGACGGCAGGGUUCGCUGGGCACAGGUUUACCACAAUAUUUUUCUUAUCUUAUCAAAACACAAACUUUUGGGCACAAAAUUGAUUGCAAGUUGUAUAAUUCCUAGUAUUUAUUCAGUCUAAUCUUGUGCAUUUUGGUGGAUCCCAAAUACCACAAACUUUGGCACAACUUUUGCAUUCUGAUGAUGAAAACAUUGCUGUGCCAUCACGCAAUAUUAAUACAUGGACUAAAACCGCCAUAUGCCCUCUUCUAAAAUAAAUAGGAAAGUAUGGGAAACUAGUGACAGCAAAUUGUUUGAUUAGGCAAUGGCCACAAAUUUGCAAUAGCAAGCAGAAAAAUAGAGGUAGUCGGAAAUCUAAAAUCAAGCUACUAACAGAUGCUCUGAAUUUGGUUCUCAUUCUCAUUCUCAUUUGAGUUUCAUAUUUUCUCUGCACUAAAAAAGAAAGAAGAAACCCCCAUUUUAAUUUCGGCUUUGUCCUAUACAUCUCCUCAUGAAAAGCAAAGAGAAUUUCCAGCAGUGACCAACAGAAGAACUUCUUCAGGUUGAAUUGCCUAGCAACUUUUUUCAGCCAGGGAGGAGACCGGACAUCGAUGAAAAGCCUCGUAUGUACUAGUUAUCUAUGCCUAAAGUAGAUAUAGCUGAGAUUCAGAGGAAAUCAUCUUCCUUAAUGUCACCACCCCAAAGCUGCUCUGUGAAACACCACAAGAGACGUGGCCAGGCCUGCAGUGACUCCAGCUCUAGCCUCUCAAGCCUCAGUUCUGGGUGCUAAACCAGAGGCCGUUCCUGACACAAUUGAAAGCUCAGUAGCUCCAACUUUUAGUUAAGCAUCAUUCACACUAAAGGAGUUGAAUGAAUGAAUAUCAAUGGUUUAUGAUUUGGUUGGUGUCAUGUUUUAUAGUUGUUUUCAAAGACCGAAGGGUGUGAAGGAAAUCCUUCUUACCUCUGAAAAUGUUCAUCUCGGGAUGUUUUACAUAUUGUAUGGAGCUUCUUUUGUUGUACAAGAAUUUGUACGUAAGCAUUUCAUUCAUUAUUUUUUGAACUUUGUUACAAUAUUGGUUGCCAUUUAUUAUAGUUUUUGUUUGCUGAA